rnacentral:rRNA from 1 species
CCCGGUGACCAUAGCACGGAGGUAACACCCGUUCCCAUCCCGAACACGGUAGUUAAGCUCUGUUACGCCGAUGAUACUGCAGGGGUGAUUCUGUGGGAAAGUAGGUAGUCGCCGGGG